rnacentral:rRNA from 1 species
UACGUAGAGUGCAAGCGUUGUCCGGAAUUAUUGGGCGUAAAGAGCUCGUAGGCGGUCUGUCGCGUCGGAUGUGAAAACCCAGGGCUCAACCCUGGGCCUGCAUUCGAUACGGGCAGACUAGAGUUCGGUAGGGGAGACUGGAAUUCCUGGUGUAGCGGUGAAAUGCGCAGAUAUCAGGAGGAACACCGGUGGCGAAGGCGGGUCUCUGGGCCGAAACUGACGCUGAGGAGCGAAAGCGUGGGGAGCAAACAGG